rnacentral:rRNA from 1 species
UACGUAGGGGGCAAGCGUUGUCCGGAUUUAUUGGGCGUAAAGCGCUCGCAGGUGGUUCGUCGCGUCGUGCGUGAAAGACCCCGGCUCAACUGGGGGGCGUCGUGCGAUACGGGCGGACUGGAGGCCAGUAGGGGGAUGCGGAAUUCCGGGUGUAGUGGUGGAAUGCGUAGAGAUCCGGAGGAACACCAGCGGCGAAGGCGGCAUCCUGGACUGGUCCUGACACUCAUGAGCGAAAGCGUGGGGAGCGAUCCGG